AGACCCGAAACCCGGUGAUCUAGCCAUGGGCAGGUUGAAGGUUGGGUAACACUAACUGGAGGACCGAACCGACUAAUGUUGAAAAAUUAGCGGAUGACCUGUGGCUGGGGGUGAAAGGCCAAUCAAACCGGGAGAUAGCUGGUUCUCCCCGAAAGCUAUUUAGGUAGCGCCUCGUGAAUUCAUCUCCGGGGGUAGAGCACUGUUUCGGCUAGGGGGCCAUCCCGGCUUACCAACCCGAUGCAAACUGCGAAUACCGGAGAAUGUUAUCACGGGAGACACACGGCGGGUGCUAACGUCCGUCGUGAAGAGGGAAACAACCCAGACCGCCAGCUAAGGUCCCAAAGUCAUGGUUAAGUGGGAAACGAUGUGGGAAGGCCCAGACAGCCAGGAUGUUGGCUUAGAAGCAGCCAUCAUUUAAAGAAAGCGUAAUAGCUCACUGGUCGAGUCGGCCUGCGCGGAAGAUGUAACGGGGCUAAACCAUGCACCGAAGCUGCGGCAGCGAACGUAUCACCCAAGACAACUUUACGGAGUUGACGAUUGACGGAGCGAAGCGACGUCAAAGCGUUCAUUAAAGUCGAGUUGGCUUAGGGAUACGUUCGUUGGGUAGGGGAGCGUUCUGUAAG
rnacentral:rRNA from 3 species